UACGUAGGGUGCAAGCGUUGCCCGGAUUUAUUGGGCGUAAAGGGCGCGUAGGCGGUCACGCACGUCCGUUGUGAAAUCGCUACGGCUCAACUGGGCGGGGUCAGCGGAUACGGUGUGGCUGGAGCAAGCUAGGGGGCAAUGGAAUUCCCCGGUGUAGUGGUGGAAUGCGUAGAGAUCGGAAAGAACACCAACGGCGAAAGCACUCUGCUGGGCCGACACUGACACUGAGAGACGAAAGCUAGGGGAGCGAAUGGG
rnacentral:rRNA from 1 species